AUGCAAAUGAACAUUCCCCUUGGCUGGCGGCUUCAUUUUGUCUGCUCCUUAAUGUACACGUGGCUGGCCAAGAAGGGAAGAUGGAGCCGCCAUUUUCUAGCUGCCAUGUCUAGUCCCAGGUAGUUCUUUCCUGCCGGCAUUCACCGUGAAAGCUCCCAGCGUGCUUGUCUAUGUCUGCAGCUCAACUUCACAGGCUGCUCUUUGUUAGAAAAUGAUUUGGGGCAGCUUUUCAUUAAAAGAAAAACGUUACCAAGGACUUCUGGACUAUCUGCCUAAAUCUAUGCCUUGAUAGGUCUUCAGUUACUCAUGGUGAAACAUAUAGAGGGAGCCCAAGCCAAGAAGAGAGGUCUGGUAUCAAAGAUUUGCUGAAUUCACAAUUGAAGAGGCUUAUGUCAGUCCCUUAGAAAGAAUUUGAGGACUCCUCGGAAAAUUGCUGAGUUGAGUAAAUAUUUCCUUCCAUAAAGGAGAGUGGUGUUUCUAAGGAGAGCAACUUAUUUCUCUUGAGGAAAUGUCUUCAUGGCAAGAAAUAAUGAUAACAGCAGUAACAACAAUAGUA
rnacentral:lncRNA from 10 species